AGUUUGUUUCUCUAAAAUUCCAGAGAUAAAACUCUGUGGACAGUAAUGGCGACCGAGAACAUGAAAAGUCACCAAAAAGGCCGUCGUUCAUUUGAUCUUCCACUAAACAUAUCCGAUUCAUAUUGCAUAUCUCUCAUACAUCUUCAUCGUCCACUUAUUCCCGCCUGAAAUCUCUACAAAUGAAGAAGAAAACGAAGAAACACCAGCAGAAGAGAAAGAAGAAAGAUAAAGUUGUUAAGAAUUCGCUUUUAUAUCUAAAUGGUCUUGUAUAAUACUUGUAAAACUGAGUUUGAGUCUCUUCAACUACAAGAUUAACGUUCUCAUUUCAAAUCGGACUAUCAUCAUUUCAAUAUAAAAAUUAAACAUAUUUUCUGGUAAAGAUACAGUAAAGGAGGAAAAUUUUUGAUGAAUUGGCUUCUGGUUCUGUGUUGAGAGAUUAUGACGAUAUGUCAAGUAUGUCUGGCUCUUAAGAUGAAGCUGAGAAAAGCUGAGUUCGAGUCUCUUCAAGAUUAACGUUCUCAAUUCAAAUCAGACCAUCAUCCUUUCAAUAUAAAAGUUAUGCAUUUCUGGAAAAGAUACAGUAAAGGAGGAAUUUUUUUUGAUGAAUUGGCUUCUGAUUCUGUGUUCAGAGAUUACGAUGAUAUGUCAAGUAUAUCUGGCUCAGAAGAUGAAGCACAGAAAAGCUCCUUCCCAGGCAAUGAGAUGCACAGGAGGAUAGCGAAAGUUUGGAAAGGAAGUUUUUUUAUCCGUCUUCAGAAAGUUGUCACUGUUUGGAAGUUUUGCUUGAAAAAGAGACUGAAAAUCUCUUGUUGGCAUAAAAUUGGUCGUGAGUUCAAUGAUGGGCAUCCAUUAUACUUGGAAGGCAAAUGAGCUAAAUGAGAUGUAGAUCCACUUCGAGAAUCAAUGGAUGAAUUCAUGAAGGAAUUACAGAGAGACAAGAUCCGUGGCUCUAAAACUAUAUGAAGGAUCAGUUAUUGCAACUGGUAGGACAAGCACAUAUAGCUCGAGGGUUUGGGAUAUAUGCUUGAGAAUUGUAUCUGAAUGUGUUUCUCCUGAUCUUUUUGCUAUACUAGUAAUUUGCAAGCAAUUUGAAUUAUAUAUAUAUAAAUAUAUUUUUAAUACUU